GAUGAAGAACGCAGUGAAAUGCGAUAAGUAAUGUGAAUUGCAGAAUUCCGUGAAUCAUCGAAUCUUUGAACGCACAUUGCGCCCCCUGGUAUUCCGGGGGGCAUGCCUGUCCGAGCGUCAUUGCAACCCUCAAGCGCGGCUUGUGUGUUGGGCUUCGUCCCCCCGUGGACGUGCCCGAAAGGCAGUGGCGGCGUCCCGAAUGGUGCCCGAGCGUAUGGGAACUCUCUUCCGCUCGAACCGGCCCAUUCGGCGCUGGUCGAACCCCAAUUUUUUUUUACCGGUUGACCUCGGAUCAGGUAGGGAUACCCGCUGAACUUAAGCAUAUCAAUAAGCGGAGGA
rnacentral:misc_RNA from 1 species